AAAUGCAGUGUAUCAGCAUCAGGAACAAUACACAUAAAUCAGAUGUAGCUGACAAAGUAGCAAAGACCUGGAGUCCCAUUAAAAUCAACGGAGACAUAGAGAACUGAUGUAUCGAAGGCUCUAGCUAGUCAUCUGUGCUCUCAACAGUGACAACCCUGUGGAUUUGUUCAUUCCAUCCUAAAGUGGACUUCCCAUCAUAAUAUUUUGUGCAUAGGUUUAGGAAAAUUUGAAUGGUGACAUCUCAAGAAGGGGGAAAGCAGGGACUGCACAAACCACACAAGAUGAGAGACCCAAAGACCCUGGAUAGCCUCAGACUGAGUUGCUUAAGGACACAUUGCUUUCCAAAGACCUUGAAGAAUGGUGAGCUACCAAGGAUUUUUCAGUCCCAGGUGAGCUUCCUGAUCAUUAGGCUGUCUCUUCUGUGUACUUUGCAGCUUAAUGAAUCUUUAAGAGAUUUUCUUCUGAGUGGAUCCAGUUUAGAAGGAAAGGAGGAGAUAACAUUUCUGUACAGCCUGUCAUGCAAGGGUGGUUGUGUGGCUUGAGGCCAAAUUCACUACUUGUCUUCUUCAUGGUUCUGAAGGUGCUCAAUUGGCUUUCUCCAGAGAAACACUUCGAAUAUAUUUUAUUCUUUAUGAUAUUCUCAAAGGAGACUUUAUCUGUCUCAUGGAAGUGACCCAGCAACUCUAUACUUGACCCAGUCUUCCUCCUCUCUGCAUUUCUGGUGAGUGGAUAGAAUGGCUCAAAGUGUUCUCAGAAGGAUCCCAGCAUCCUCACCAAGGCCUUUAGGGCUGGAGAUAGCAGAAGUUAUGGGUGUCCUAUGGGUUUAUGAACCCAUAUCCAACUCUGAGCUUCACUGGGAGGUGGGAGGACAGCUGGUUUUCUGCCCAUAACUAUGCUAGACCCAGUGAAGUUCCUUGCAAUCACUAAGAAGUUGUAGUGUAAGAAAAUGCCUCUGUGACUGGACCUCUUUUUGUUAUUUAAGACAUCCAAAUUUCUGCCUGUUCAGCUCCAAGUCUGGUUGCUGAGUACAGCUUCCAGUGAACUGAGGUCACUGAAGUUCUCUGCCUGUGUCUGAGGCCAUCAGGGUUUUAAGCUGUGGAUAAGAUGCUGAGGUUUAGGCUUUCUCUGAUUAUUGCCUUUCUGCGCUUUUCUAUCCAAUUUGAUGAAAUUACAGUGUUCAUAAUUGCAAUCAUUGUGGGUAGGUAUUUCUGUGUGCAUGUAAUUUACCAACUUUAAUGAGUAAAUAAGCAACUAACUGCUGCAGCAAGUGAUACUCCCCAAAUCUUUAAAUAAUAAUAAAUAAUAGUGCCACGAUGUGUACUCA
ensembl:lncRNA